rnacentral:rRNA from 1 species
UACGUAGGGGGCGAGCGUUGUCCGGAAUUAUUGGGCGUAAAGAGCGUGUAGGCGGUUCGGUAAGUCUGCCGUGAAAACCUGAGGCUCAACCUCGGGCGUGCGGUGGAUACUGCCGGGCUAGAGGACGGUAGAGGCGAGUGGAAUUCCUGGUGUAGCGGUGGAAUGCGCAGAUAUCAGGAGGAACACCAAUAGCGAAGGCAGCUCGCUGGGACGUUACUGACACUGAGGCGCGAAAGCGUGGGGAGCGAACAGG